AUUGAACGCUGGCGGCAGGCCUAACACAUGCAAGUCGAGCGGUAGAGAGGUGCUUGCACCUCUUGAGAGCGGCGGACGGGUGAGUAAUGCCUAGGAGUCUGCCUGGUAGUGGGGGAUAACGUCCGGAAACGGGCGCUAAUACCGCAUACGUCCUACGGGAGAAAGCAGGGGACUUUCGGGCCUUGCGCUAUCAGAUGAGCCUAGGUCGGAAUAGCUAGUUGGUGAGGUAAUGGCUCACCAAGGCGACGAUCCGUAACUGGUCUGAGAGGAUGAUCAGUCACACUGGAACUGAGACACGGUCCAGACUCCUACGGGAGGCAGCAGUGGGGAAUAUUGGACAAUGGGCGAAAGCCUGAUCCAGCCAUGCCGCGUGUGUGAAGAAGGUCUUCGGAUUGUAAAGCACUUUAAGUUGGGAGGAAGGGCAGUAAGUUAAUACCUUGCUGUUUUGACGUUACCGACAGAAUAAGCACCGGCUAACUUCGUGCCAGCCGCCGCAGUAAGAC
rnacentral:rRNA from 1 species